rnacentral:rRNA from 1 species
GACAGAGGGUGCAAACGUUGUUCGGAAUUACUGGGCGUAAAGCGAGUGUAGGCGGUUUGGUAAGUCGGAUGUGAAAGCCCUGGGCUCAACCCAGGAAGUGCAUUCGAUACUGUCAAGCUAGAGUAUCGGAGAGGUUGGUGGAAUUCUCGGUGUAGAGGUGAAAUUCGUAGAUAUUGGGAAGAACACCGAUGGCGAAGGCAGCCAUCUGGACCGACACUGACGCUGAGGCGCGAAAGCUAGGGGAGCAAACGGG